rnacentral:rRNA from 1 species
GACGAACGCUGGCGGCGUGCUUAACACAUGCAAGUCGAACGGAAAGGCCCUGCUUUUGGGGGGUGCUCGAGUGGCGAACGGGUGAGUAACACGUGAGUAACCUGCACUUGACUGUGGGAUAACCUCAGGACACUGGGGCUAUUCCCGGCUAGGAGUUCCUGCUGCUGGGUGGGGGUUGGAAAGUUUCGGCGGUUGGGGAUGGACUCGCGGCUUACGAGCUUGUUGGUGGGGUAGUGGGUUACCACGCCUUUGACGGUUAGCCGGCCUGGGAGGGUGACCGGCCACAUUGGGACUGAGAUACGACCCAGACUACUACGGGAGGCAGCAGUGGGGAAGAUUGCACUAUGGGAGGAAGCCUGAUGCAGCAAAGCCGCGUGCGGGAUGACGGCCUUCGGGUUGUAAACCGCUUUCGCCUGUGACGAAGCGUGAGUGACGGUAAUGGGUAAAGAAGCACCGGCUAACUCCGUG